UACAGAGGCCACAAGCGUUAUGCGGAAUCACUGGGCUUAAAGCGUGUGUAGGCGGAGGCGUAAGUGUCUUGUGAAAUCCCCCGGCUCAACCGGGGAACCGCUGGGCAUACUGCGUCUCUUGGGCCAAUCAGGGGCAGCUGGAACAAACGGUGGAGCGGUGAAAUGCGUAGAUAUCGGUUGGAACGCCAACGGCGAAAGCAGGCUGCUGGGAUUGUGCCGACGCUGAGACACGAAAGCCAGGGGAGCGAACGGG
rnacentral:rRNA from 1 species